GCUCUGCACCUCGCGCUGGCUCCGCCCCCCGACCUCCCAGCAACCACUGCGGCCUGCCGGGAGGUCAUCAAGCUGCGCAUGCGCAAAGGGACCCGUCGCUGGACCCCGCACAUCGCAGAGAGGGACCGCCGGAGAAGACGUCACCGUGGGAGCCCCAGACACCGCAGCGCAUCGUCGGAAGGAGUCUGAGAAGACAAAGAAAGUCGGAGAUAAAAAGUAUUAGGUGCACGAUGUGUAACACCAACUGCUGAUGAAUGCAUAAUAACUACAUUGACAAAAUUUACAGACUUCCUUCAAGCACUAACACCUUUCCACUGUGCUGCUCCUGAAAAUGCGGAAGGUCUUCCAGAUGCUGCUACUGAUCUUGGUAAAUUAAUAUGUGUGGUUCAAUCUUCUAACCCUAACAUCGAUAUUAUAUCCAACCUUUUGAUGAAAAUGGAGGAGAUGUGAGCAGCAGCAUGGCCAAAACAAGUCACAGGAUCCCGUCCGAAGCACAUCUGCUUCCAAAGGAGAAAACUGAUUCCUAAUCUUUGCAAACCAAUAUUAAUUAUUUUCUGAAAAUCUCAUUCUCUUUGGAUCGCCCAUGUUUUUGAGAAU